GUGAGGAAUUUUCCGCAAUGGGCGAAAGCCUGACGGAGCAAUGCCGCGUGAAGGAUGAAGGCCUAUGGGUUGUAAACUUCUUUUCUCAGAAAAGAAUUAUGACGGUAUCUGAGGAAUAAGCAUCGGCUAACUCUGUGCCAGCAGCCGCGGUAAGACAGAGGAUGCAAGCGUUAUCCGGAAUGAUUGGGCGUAAAGCGUCUGUAGGUUGUUUAAAAAGUAUUCUGUCAAAGAUUAGGGCUUAACCCUAGAUAGGCAGAAUAAACUUUUAAGCUAGAGUUUGGUAGAGGCAGAGGGAAUUCCCGGUGGAACGGUGAAAUGCGUAGAUAUCGGGAGGAACACCAAAGGCGAAGGCACUCUGCUGGGCCAAUACUAACACUGAGAGACGAAAGCGAGGGGAGCAAAUGGGAUUAGAUACCCGAGUAGUCC
rnacentral:rRNA from 1 species